GGGCGGAGGGAGGCGUUUGAAGCUGAUGGAAGCCAGUGUCCAGUGCUCUUUGCCAAGUCCCGCUUCUCCCAAGCCAACUACGCGGUCACGGUGACCCCAGCGAGGCCUCCCAGCUCAGGCCUGGACCGUCCCCAGCUCCUGUCCACCCUUCCACUCCCCUCCCUCCUUGGACCCCGCCUGAGCAGACCCCCGCACUGCAGUGACCCACCGAGGGGCAGAACCUCCGCUGUGCAUCCCCGGAGGAGCCGCUGGCCCUCUCUGCGCUUCGGUACCACCUCAGCCUUCCUUACAGACUCGGAUGAGGUCACCGAAGCGCAGAGACGUGAACCAACUUGCCCGGAGACACCCAGCUGACAGGUGGCGGGGCCGGGAUCAGAACCCACGACCGCUGACUCCUAAACCCGUGCUCUUUCCCCUGAGUCAAGAUGCUUCUCGCUGAGAUGAGGUAACUGAGGCACAGAGAAGUGAAGUGACUCGCCC